rfam:TPA: Bos taurus chromosome 6, whole genome shotgun sequence.
UGGCUCAGACGGUAAAGUGUCUGCCUACAAUGCAGGAGACCCGGGUUCAAUCCCUGG